rnacentral:lncRNA from 1 species
CUCGUCCUAGACUCAUUACCAUCAUUAAAUGCACUCAACUCAAUGCUCUCUUCUGUUGAAACAAGAAAAACAAAAUAGAGCUGGGGAUGUAGCUCAAUGGUAGAGCACAACCCAGCAUGUUGUGGCUCUGGAUUCUAUCUCCAUCCCUGAAAAAAAAAAAAAAGACAACAAUAACAACAACAACAAAACAUAAAAAUGAAAAGAAAAAGUCCCAAAGCCCCAAUCUUAACCCUAAAUGCUGCUCUGGCCUCAUUUCUCCUUCCUUUCAUAGGUAAGUAUAAAAAGAUGCUCCAACACAUCGCAUGAAAAAAUGCUCAACAUCUCUAGCAAUUAGAGAACUGCAAAUUAAAACUACACUGAGAUUUCAUCUCACUCCAGUCAGAGUGGCAAUUAUCAAGGAUAUAAGCAACAAAAUGUUGGUGAGGAUGUGGGAAAAAGGCACACUCAUACAUUGCUGGUGGGACUGCAAAUUGGUGCAACCACUAUGGAGAACAGUAUGGAGAUUCCUCAGAAAACUUGGAAUGAAACCACCAUUUGACCCAGUCAUCCCACUCCAUGGCCUAUACCCAAAGGACGUAAAAUCAGCAUACUAUAGUGAUGUAGCCACAUCAAUGUUUAUAGCAGCGUAAUUCACAAUAGCUAAACUAUGGAACCAACCUAGGUGCCCUUCAACAGAUGAAUGGAUAAAGAAAAUGUGGCAUAUAUACACAAUGGAAUAUUGCUUAACCUUAAAGAAGAAUGAAGUUAUGGCAUUUGCUGGUAAAUGAACGGAAUUGGAGAAUAUUAUGCUAAGUGAAAUAAGUCAAUCCCAAAAAACAAAACGCAGAAUGUUUUCUCUGAUAUGCAGACGCUAACAGUAAGGAAGGCGGUAGGGAAAAAUAGAAGUAUUUGGAUUAGACAAAUGGGAAUGAGGAGAAGGGAGGGGAAAUGGGAACAGGUAAUGUAGUAGAAUGAAUUGUACCUUGCUAUCCUAUGUGUGCAUAUGAUCACACGACCAAUGUAAUUCUACAUCAUGUACAAUCAGAAGAAUGAGUUAUACUCUAUGAUUGUAUAUGUCAAAAUACAUCCUACUGUCCUGUAUAACCAAUAAGGACUAAUAAAAAAGAAAUAUUCUCCAUAUGUGCUUUCUCCAUUCUUUACAUUCCCCAAUUGACUUGUAACGUCCGUUGAGGUCACCAAGGACCCCAUGAACUCCACCUGUGCAGGCUGUUUAAUCGGUGGCUCUUUCUUCCUAGGUCCCUGGCCACAGCGAUUUCUGCCCAGGCCCAUUCUCUAUUUGUAUCUCACCUGCUUCCUCUCCCUUGACUUCCAUCUCGUAGCUCUCUGGGGUUUCUGUCUUCCUCUGACUUCUCCUUCCAGGGAACCUUCAUGGGUUCCUCUAUCAUUCCUUGACUCACAGGUGUCCCCCAGCAUCCUGUCCUCUGCUUUCUUUUCUCAUCAACUGCGGCUUGUACAAAAGUUUUGUUUAGAGAAAUCCGAAGCCCUGUGACAUAGUUUGUCAUUUGCCUAGACACGGGUGUGAUGUGUGGGCAUGAGGACCAUCUCUGAGGGGAAUGCAGCAAAGUAUCCACUAUUUUCUCCCUUUACAGCUCAGGACCCUGCUCAGGGUCCACAAUGCUACCCUCAGCUGGAUGCUUGCCAGAGCACAGCAAGAGGAUGGUAAGAGCUCUCUAAUGGGUCUCUGUCGUCCCAAUUGUAGCUCCUUCCUUUGCUCUUGAACCUGGUCAUGACCCAGAUUCCACCCCUUCAUCUUUCAUGACACAGCCCCCCUCCACUCAUGUUUUCAUGCUACUGCUCAGUUCCCUAUCUGCCUGCACUUCCUCCCCUCCCCACCCCUGCUCCACACAGUUGAC